ACAGCACAACCCCCUUUUUCCAGCAGCUCCUGGGGGACUGUUGUCAGCACAGCCCCACGUGAGGAAUGCAGAGCUCUGUGAUGUAGUGACACCAUCGGGGGUGAAAAUUCCACCGUGGCACAUCCAGGGGCACUUUUGAGACGUGGGAGAGGCUGCUAGGCCAGUCACUUUUUCUGUAUGGGGGGCCAGUGGGUGCUCUGCUUACACUGCUGGCUCUUGAUGGGAGGGACCACCACGGGGCAUUUCUGCUGCACCACCUGGGCGCAUCCCCCACCCUCAGGGCCGAGCUCCGGGCCGUGGAAUGCCCCAGUUCCAUAUGCCCCAUAUCCAUACCCUCCUCCAUAGUACCCUGAGCCCUCAGAGACCCCCCCAGUGCUCAGGGUGUCACUCAGGGGUGCAGAGUAUCCAUACCCAGCCCCUGCUCCCUCGGCCAUUCCUGAAUUCCCUCCAUGGUAGAUGGAUCUUCCACCUCCCCCUGAGCUGCUGAUGACCGGCCCCAAGUCCUCGCUGCCGUACCCCAUUCCCACUCCGGAGCCGUACACCGGGACCGUCCCCACCACGGGGUCCCAGCCAGAUGUGACCCCACAGUCCCCACUGCUGACCACGAGGGACCCGUCGGCGUCACACGAGAACCUCCCUGAGAUGCUGAAGGGGGCUGGCGCUGGCGGGGGCGGGCAGGACGAGGGUCGCCGGCUGUAGGUGACGGAGCCUUCCCCGCCGUAAGAGAAGGAGGCACGGCCGUGGCGGUUGGCGAAGUCCCCGGAGCAGAAUCCGCGGUGGCUCAGGGACAUCUCCCGGCUGUAGCCCCGGUUCCGCCGGGAGCAUUUCCGUCGCAGAUAGUGGGACUGGACCCAGAACAGAGGUGGAGCCCACCCAGAUCCCCAGGAAUUGGCUCAAGGCAGAGGGGUCCUGCUGCCAGCACCAGCCAAGGUAUCAAAUGAGCUGCAUCCCCUGACUAGGAAAGAAUAAAAUCCCAGAAAAAAACCCCAGACUUACCCUCUUCAGCCAUCGGAAACACAUUUAGAAGAGCCCAGGUGGAAAAUGAAGGUGCAAAACCUCUGGGACAAUAAACUGGGUGGUGUGGAAUGAAACAUCUCAUCAGAGACAUUUCUACAUCCCAAGAACAUGAAGUGCAGGUGUGUUUGUGAGGUGAACAAAAACCCUCUGGGCUUAAAGUUUACUGGACUCAAGACUAAUCCCACCAGUUCCAAAGAGGACUUUGGGAGUCCUUUUUAAGAGGAUUUUCCAGCUUUGAGAAGAAAGCCAACUGUCUCUGGGCUGCAUCCAAAGCAGAGUGGGCAGGAUGGUGAGGGAGGGAUUUUUCUGCUCUGGUGAAAUCCCACUGGGAAUGCUGUGUCCAGUUCUGGUGUCCCCAACAUAAGAAGGACAUGGAAUUAUUGGAGCAAGUCCAGAGGAGGCCAUGAAGUUGAUAAGAGGAGCCCCACCCCUAGGAAGCCAGUCUGGGAGGGCUGGGAAUGUUCAGCCUGGAGUAGAGGAAGUUGUUUGGAGACCCCAGAGCCCCUCCCAGGAUCUGCAGGGGCUCCAGAGAAGCUGGAGGGAUUUUUCCUCAGGGACUGCAGGGAUAGGACACAGGGAAUGGGUUCAGGAUGAAAGAGGGGAACAUUAGGUUGGAUAUAGGAAUGAUCUGUUGAUGAGUGCCUGCUCCAGCACUGGAGGCUGGAGAACGUUUCUGAGCAGAAUGUUUUGGAUGUUUUACUCAUUUUUUGGGAAGCAAACUGACAAAGGAGAAAAGCAACCUCACAAACCAGUUCUGUCCGUACACAGAAAUCUUUAUUUGCCGUCACAUUUAUGGCACAGAGGAGCCACCUGGGAGUUCACAGCACAGGGAUGCAGCACCAAGGGAACACAAGGGAUGGGGAUGUGCUGGGGGAAGACUUGGAGGCCAAACACUCGUCUGUUCCCGAUGAGAACCAGAGCUGCCCAGGGCUGUUACUUCUGCUGGCAGGGCCAGUGGGAGCUCUGCUUGGUCUGGUGGGACACCACGCUGGGGAUGACAACGGGACAUUUCUGCUGGGAGGAGCCUCCACCACCACCUCCAGAGCUGAUGAUGAUGGUCUGGCCCGAGGAGCCACCACCAGAUCCGCCACCGCAGCAUCCAGAGGAUCCUCCACCGCCUCCGCCUCCCAUGAUGAUCUUCCCUCCUGAAGAGCCACCACCAGAUCCCCCUCCGCAGCAUCCGGAGGAGCCUCCUCCUCCACCGCCAGAGCUGAUGAUGAUCUUCUGAGCUGAUCCCCCACUGCCACCACCGGAUCCGCCACCGCAGCAUCCGGAAGAUCCUCCACCUCCUCCACCUCCCAUCAUGCUCUUUGAAGAUCCACCGCUGGAUCCGCCACCGCAGCAUCCGGAGGAUCCACCACCACCUCCACCUCCCAUGAUGACCUUCAUCCCAGAAGAGCCACCGCUGG